GGGCGAGUGGCGGAACUGGUAGACGCAGCAGACUCAAAAUCUGCCGCCGAAAGGUUUGGGGGUUCGAUUCCCCCCUCGCCCACCA
rnacentral:tRNA from 1 species